rnacentral:lncRNA from 1 species
UCUCUUUCUUUGUGUCAUUGAUUUUGUUAUGACAUUGUUGGUCCAGUUAUUUUAUUUCAACAAGUUAUUGUGAUGGACUUGUCGCUCCUUAUUAUUCCUUUUCCAUUAUGUCUUAGUGGCUAGCUCAAUUGAGUAAGGUAGCGAAUGUUGGUCGUGCCUCCUUUAGUUUGGGGUGUGACAGAUAAUUAAUGACAAAGAAAUUGUUACACGAUCAAUUAAUACGUAAAAAUUCAUUAAACUAUACAAAUUGUUACUCAUUAGAACCUAAUAAGUUAAGAAGAUUUAUAACUAACUAGCUAGAACGUACUUGAUUAAAAUCUUGACUUCCAUC